rnacentral:rRNA from 1 species
GCUCAGGAUGAACGCUAGCUACAGGCUUAACACAUGCAAGUCGAGGGGUAGCAGGGUAGCAAUACCGCUGACGACCGGCGCACGGGUGAGUAACACGUAUCCAACCUUCCCAUAACUCGGGGAUAGCCUUUCGAAAGAAAGAUUAAUACCCGAUAGUACUUAUAUAAGGCAUCUUAAAUAAGUUAAAGAUUCAUUGGUUAUGGAUGGGGAUGCGUUCCAUUAGAUAGUUGGUGAGGUAACGGCUCACCAAGUCUUCGAUGGAUAGGGGUUCUGAGAGGAAGGUCCCCCACAUUGGUACUGAGACACGGACCAAACUCCUACGGGAGGCAGCAGUGAGGAGUAUUGGUCAAUGGGCGAGA